AAUGGACGAGGGAAAGGUCGCCUUCGACGACAUUCACCUGCCAGUUUUUUGGGAAUGUCGGAGAUUCGGCCGGAAUCUCCGGUUCCCCGGG
rnacentral:sRNA from 1 species